rnacentral:misc_RNA from 1 species
GAUGAAGAACGUAGCGAAAUGCGAUAAGUAAUGUGAAUUGCAGAAUUCAGUGAAUCAUCGAAUCUUUGAACGCACAUUGCGCCCCUUGGUAUUCCGGGGGGCAUGCCUGUUCGAGCGUCAUUUCAACCCUCAAGCCCAGCUUGGUGUUGGGGAUCGGCACAGGCGCCCUCGGGCGCCAGCCGUCCCCUAAAUCUAGUGGCGGUCCCGCUGCAGCCUCCUCUGCGUAGUAGUUUUCUCCUCGCAAGGGCAGCUCGGUGGCGACCUCGCCGUAAAACCCCCAACUUCUGAAAGGUUGACCUCGAAUCAGGUAGGAAUACCCGCUGAACUUAAGCAUAUCAAUAAGCGGAGGA